rnacentral:sRNA from 1 species
CUACCUUCUUAACAUUCUAUAUGUGUACUUCACACUACUCUCAUAAUUAUACCUACAACCAUCUCUUACAAUUCUAAUCACUCAUAACUUUAUUUGAGUGGUCCGUUGUUACACACACCUACAAUAAAGCACACAAUGUUAGUUAAAACACACAAUAUUAGUUAAAACACACAAGAUGGUCUUAAUAUGCACAAGAUCUCUUGAAAACCAAUCUGAAUCCUCUACUGCCUUUGAUGAUCACAAUGCACAUUUGCAACAGUUGAAUGAUCAAAUCCAUGAAUGAGAGCAGCAAUUAGCUAUUCUGCAUGCACAACAGCAGCUCAACAAGUUGGAAGUGCAGAUUCAUGAAGAUACUCUCAUCAAGUCUCAAUUAACUCAGAAUAUCACCACAGAACCACCACAAAAUCAAUCUGCAAACAAUACAGAUGAUGAUAAUGAAACAUCAUCAAGAUUGAAGAUUAAGAACUAUUAUUGAGGAAAAAAUAUGUUAGAAUUCAAGAACUAUAAAGAUCACAUAUUGACUUUCUUUACACAUCACCAUCAGUAUUAUCAAAAAAAAGAACACA